GAAAUGCGAUAAGUAGUGUGAAUUGCAGAAUUCAGUGAAUCAUCGAAUCUUUGAACGCACAUUGCGCCCCUUGGUAUUCCAUGGGGCAUGCCUGUUCGAGCGUCAUUUGUACCUUCAAGCUUUGCUUGGUGUUGGGUGUUUGUCUCGCCUCUGCGUGUAGACUCGCCUCAAAACAAUUGGCAGCCGGCGUAUUGAUUUCGGAGCGCAGUACAUCUCGCGCUUUGCACUCAUAACGACGACGUCCAAAAGUACAUUUUUACACUCUUGACCUCGGAUCAGGUAGGGAUACCCGCUGAACUUAAGC
rnacentral:misc_RNA from 1 species